rnacentral:rRNA from 1 species
GAUGAACGCUGGCGGCGUGCCUAAUACAUGCAAGUCGAGCGAACGGACGAGAAGCUUGCUUCUCUGAUGUUAGCGGCGGACGGGUGAGUAACACGUGGAUAACCUACCUAUAAGACUGGGAUAACUUCGGGAAACCGGAGCUAAUCCCGGAUAAUAUUUUGAACCGCAUGGUUCAAAAGUGAAGGACGGUCUUGCUGUCACUUAUAGAUGGAUCCGCGCUGCAUUAGCUAGUUGGUAAGGUAACGGCUUACCAAGGCAACGAUGCAUAGCCGACCUGAGAGGGUGAUCGGCCACACUGGAACUGAGACACGGUCCAGACUCCUACGGGAGGCAGCAGUAGGGAAUCUUCCGCAAUGGGCGAAAGCCUGACGGAGCAACGCCGCGUGAGUGAUGAAGGUCUUCGGAUCGUAAAACUCUGUUAUUAGGGAAGAACAUAUGUGUAAGUAACUGUGCACAUCUUGACGGUACCUAAUCAGAAAGCCACGGCUAACUACGUG